rnacentral:rRNA from 1 species
GCAUAUCAAUAAGCGGAGGAAAAGAAACUAACAAGGAUUCCCUUAGUAACGGCGAGUGAAGAGGGAAGAGCUCAAAUUUUAAAUCUAUCAUGUUUGUACAUGAUCGAGUUGUAAUUUGAAGAAGCGUUUUCUCGUACUUUAUGCAAUCAGUAUAAGUUCUCUUGGAACAGGACAUCAUAGAGGGUGAUAAUCCCGUCUGUUACUGGUUGUGAGGUUCGUUAUGAUACGCUUUCAAAGAGUCGAGUUGUUUGGGAUUGCAGCUCCAAAUGGGUGGUAAACAUCACCUAAGGCUAAAUAUUUGCGAGAGACCGAUAGCGAACAAGUACCGUGAGGGAAAGAUGAAAAGAACUUUGAAAAGAGAGUUAAAAAGUAUGUGAAAUUGUUGAAAGGGAAACGAUUGAAGUCAGUCGUGCAGUCAUCAAUUCAGCGGUUAACAUUUUUAUGUUUCCGUGUAAUUUGGUGUCUGUUGGUUAGCAUCAAUUUUGAUUGUCAUAAAAAGGUUAAGGGGAUGUGGCUCCUUCGGGAGUGUUAUAACCCUUAGCGUAAUGUGACGAUUAGGAUUGAGGAUUGCAACGAAUACCUUUUAGGGCAGUUUCACCUGGCCUCUCGUGGAAUUAUAGAUAGUUAAGAGCAUGCUCUUACUGUCUAUGAUUCUACGAAAAGGUUGGAGUGUAAAACUAAUUCGUUAAGGAUGUUGACGUA